rnacentral:rRNA from 1 species
GCGUUAUCCGGAAUCAUUGGGUUUAAAGGGUCCGUAGGCGGUUUAGUAAGUCAGUGGUGAAAGCCCAUCGCUCAACGGUGGAACGGCCAUUGAUACUGCUAGACUUGAAUUAUUAGGAAGUAACUAGAAUAUGUAGUGUAGCGGUGAAAUGCUUAGAGAUUACAUGGAAUACCAAUUGCGAAGGCAGGUUACUACUAAUGGAUUGACGCUGAUGGACGAAAGCGUGGGUAGCGAACAGGAUUAGAUACCCUGGUAGUCCACGCCGUAAACGAUGGAUACUAGCUGUUGGGAGCGAUCUCAGUGGCUAAGCGAAAGUGAUAAGUAUCCCACCUGGGGAGUACGUUCGUAAGAAUGAAACUCAAAGGAAUUGACG